rnacentral:rRNA from 1 species
UACAGAGGUGGCAAGCGUUGUUCGGAAUUACUGGGCGUAAAGUGCGCGUAGGCGGCCCGUCAAGUCCCGUGUGAAAGCCCCCGGCUCAACCGGGGAACGGCGCGGGAAACUAGCAGGCUUGAGUUCGGGAGAGGGAAGCGGAAUUCCGGGUGUAGCGGUGAAAUGCGCAGAUAUCCGGAUGAACACCGGUGGCGAAGGCGGCUUCCUGGACCGACACUGACGCUGAGGCGCGAAAGCGUGGGGAGCGAACAGG